rnacentral:rRNA from 1 species
GACGAACGCUGGCGGCGUGCUUAACACAUGCAAGUCGAACGGAGUGGCGAACGGGUGAGUAACACGUGGGUGACCUUCCCUGCACUUCGGGAUAAGCCUGGGCUACUGGGUCUAAUACCGGAUAGUGUGGGAUGGGCCCGCGGCCUAUCAGCUUGUUGGUGGGGUAAUGGCCUACCAAGGCCGCGACGGGUAGCCGGCCUGGGAGGGUGGACGGCCAAAUGGGGACUAAGACACGGCCCAGACUCCUACGGGAGGCAGCAGUGGGGAAUAUUGCACAAUGGGCGGGAGCCUGAUGAAGCGACGCCGCGGGGGGGAUGAAGGCCUUCGGGUUGUAAACUGCUUUCACCAUCGACGCGGUAGAUGGAGAAGAAGCACCGGCUAACUACGUGCCAGCAGCCGCGGUAAUAC